rnacentral:tRNA from 1 species
UCUAAUAUGGCAGAUUAGUGCAAUGAAUUUAAGCUUCAUUUAUAAAGGCUGCCCUUUUUUUAGAA